rnacentral:rRNA from 1 species
AGUGAACGCUGGCGGUAGGCCUAACACAUGCAAGUCGAACGGCAGCACAGCAAGAGCUUGCUCUUACGGGUGGCGAGUGGCGGACGGGUGAGGAAUACAUCGGAAUCUACUUUUUCGUGGGGGAUAACGUAGGGAAACUUACGCUAAUACCGCAUACGACCUACGGGUGAAAGCAGGGGAUCUUCGGACCUUGCGCGAUUGAAUGAGCCGAUGUCGGAUUAGCUAGUUGGCGGGGUAAAGGCCCACCAAGGCGACGAUCCGUAGCCGGUCUGAGAGGAUGAUCAGCCACACUGGAACUGAGACACGGUCCAGACUCCUACGGGAGGCAGCAGUGGGGAAUAUUGGACAAUGGGCGCAAGCCUGAUCCAGCCAUACCGCGUGGGUGAAGAAGGCCUUCGGGUUGUAAAGCCCUUUUGUUGGGAAAGAAAAGCAGCAGGUUAAUACCCCGCUGUUCUGACGGUACCCAAAGAAUAAGCACCGGCUAACUUCGUG